AGAUUGAACGCUGGCGGCAGGCCUAACACAUGCAAGUCGAGCGGUAGAGAGGUGCUUGCACCUCUUGAGAGCGGCGGACGGGUGAGUAAUGCCUAGGAAUCUGCCUAGUGGUGGGGGAUAACGUUCGGAAACGGACGCUAAUACCGCAUACGUCCUACGGGAGAAAGCGGGGGACCUUCGGGCCUCGCGCCAUUAGAUGAGCCUAGGUCGGAUUAGCUAGUUGGUGAGGUAAUGGCUCACCAAGGCGACGAUCCGUAACUGGUCUGAGAGGAUGAUCAGUCACACUGGAACUGAGACACGGUCCAGACUCCG
rnacentral:rRNA from 1 species